rnacentral:rRNA from 1 species
UACGGGGGGGGCAAGCGUUGUUCGGAAUUACUGGGCGUAAAGGGCUCGUAGGCGGCCAACUAAGUCGGAUGUGAAAUCCCCAGGCUUAACCUGGGAACUGCAUCCGAUACUGGAUGGCUUGAAUUCGGGAGAGGGAUGCAGAAUUCCAGGUGUAGCGGUGAAAUGCGUAGAUAUCUGGAGGAAUACCGGUGGCGAAGGCGAGUCCCUGGACAACUCCUGACACUGAGGCACGAAAGCUAGGGGAGCAAACAGG